rnacentral:rRNA from 1 species
CCUACGGGAGGCUGCAGUGGGGAAUAUUGGACAAUGGGGGCAACCCUGAUCCAGCCAUGCCGCGUGUGUGAAGAAGGCCCUCGGGUUGUAAAGCACUUUCAGUGAGGAAGAACGCCUGGUGGUUAAUACCCAUCAGGAAAGACAUCACUCACAGAAGAAGCGCCGGCUAACUCCGUGCCAGCAGCCGCGGUAAUACGGAGGGUGCGAGCGUUAAUCGGAAUUACUGGGCGUAAAGCGCGCGUAGGUGGCUUGAUAAGCCGGUUGUGAAAGCCCCGGGCUCAACCUGGGAACGGCAUCCGGAACUGUCAAGCUAGAGUGCAGGAGAGGAAGGUAGAAUUCCCGGUGUAGCGGUGAAAUGCGUAGAGAUCGGGAGGAAUACCAGUGGCGAAGGCGGCCUUCUGGACUGACACUGACGCUGAGGUGCGAAAGCGUGGGUAGCAAACAGGAUUAGAUACCCCUGUAGUC